rnacentral:lncRNA from 1 species
GGACUGGGGGCAUGGACAGCUCUGUAUUGGUCCAUACCGGCCCGUACUGGUCUGUGCUGGUUCAUACCGGUUUAUACUGGUUUAUACCGGUCCGUACUGGUCUGUGCUGGUUCAUACCGGUUUAUACUGGUCUGUACUGGUUUAUACUGGUUUAUACUGGUCUGUACUGGUUUAUACUGGUUUAUACUGGUCUGUACUGGUUUAUACUGGUCCGUACUGGUCUGUACUGGUUUAUACUGGUCUGUACUGGUUUGUACUGGUUUAUACCGGUCCAUACUGGUUUAUACUGGUCCGUACUGGUUUAUACCGGUCUGUACUGGUUUAUACCGGUCCGUACUGGUUUAUACCGGUCUGUACUGGUUCAUACUGGUCCGUACUGGUUCAUACUGGUCCGUACUGGUCUGUACUGGUUCAUACUGGUCCGUACUGGUUUAUACUGGUCCGUACUGGUUUAUACCGGUCUGUACUGGUCCAUACUGGUUGAUACUGGUCUGUACUGGUUUAUACCGGUCUGUACUGGUCCAUACUGGUUUAUACUGGUCUGUACUGGUUUAUACUGGUUUAUACUGGUUUAUACUGGUUUAUACUGGUUUGUACCGGUCCGUACUGGUCCAUACUGGUUUAUACUGGUUUAUACUGGUCCAUACUGGUUUAUACUGGUCCGUACUGGUUUGUACCGGUCCGUACUGGUCCAUACUGGUUUAUUCUGGUUUAUACUGGUUUAUACUGGUUUAUACUGGUUUAUACUGGUCCGUACUGGUCCGUACUGGUUUAUACUGGUUUAUACCGGUCCGUACUGGUCCAUACUGGUUUAUACCGGUCCGUACUGGUCCAUACUGGUUCAUACUGGUCCGUACUGGUGCAGGGCACGCUGGAGGACGGGACCCCCUUUGACAGCAGCCUGAGCCCGGAGCAGCCGUUCGUGUUCUCACUGGGGACGGGCCAGGUCAUCAAGGGCUGGGACCAGGGGCUGCUGGGGUGAGUGACCAGAGUGACCACUGACCCCUGAGUGACCAGAGUGACCACUGAGUGACCCCUGAGUGACCACUGACUGACCACUGAGUGACCCCUGAGUGACCCUGAGUGACAGUGACACCAAACUGGGGACGGGCCAGGUCAUCAAGGGCUGGGACCAGGGGCUGCUGGGGUGAGUGACCAGAGUGACCACUGACCACUGACCACUGACCACUGAGUGACCCUGAGUGACCCUGAGUGACCACUGAGUGACCACUGAGUGACCCCUGAGUGACCCCUGAGUGACCCCUGAGU